AUUGAACGCUGGCGGCAUGCUUUACACAUGCAAGUCGAACGGUAACAGGUUAAGCUGACGAGUGGCGAACGGGUGAGUAAUGCAUCGGAACGUGCCCGGUCGUGGGGGAUAACGCAGCGAAAGCUGCGCUAAUACCGCAUACGAUCUGAGGAUGAAAGCGGGGGACCGUAAGGCCUCGCGCGAUCGGAGCGGCCGAUGUCAGAUUAGGUAGUUGGUGGGGUAAAGGCCCACCAAGCCGACGAUCUGUAGCUGGUCUGAGAGGACGACCAGCCACACUGGGACUGAGACACGGCCCAGACUCCUACGGGAGGCAGCAGUGGGGAAUUUUGGACAAUGGGCGAAAGCCUGAUCCAGCAAUGCCGCGUGCAGGAAGAAGGCCUUCGGGUUGUAAACUGCUUUUGUACGGAGCGAAAAGGUCCUUUCUAAUACAAGGGGCUCAUGACGGUACCGUAAGAAUAAGCACCGGCUAACUACGUGCCAGCCGCCGCCGUAA
rnacentral:rRNA from 1 species